rnacentral:rRNA from 1 species
GACGUAGGGGGCCAGCGUUGUUCGGAAUUACUGGGUGUAGAGGGUUCGUAGGCGGUGCGGCAAGUUGGGAGUGAAAUCUCUGGGCUCAACCCAGAGGCUGCUUCCAAAACUGCUGUGCUUGAGUGUGGGAGAGGCGCGUGGAAUUGCAGGUGUAGCGGUGAAAUGCGUAGAUAUCUGCAGGAACACCCGUGGCGAAAGCGGCGCGCUGGUCCACACCUGACGCUGAGGCGCGUAAGCUAGGGGAGCAUUCAGU